rnacentral:rRNA from 1 species
UACGGGGGGGGUAAGCGUUGUUCGGAAUUACUGGGCGUAAAGGGCUCGUAGGCGGCCAACUAAGUCAUACGUGAAAUCCCUCAGCUUAACUGGGGAACUGCGUGUGAUACUGGAUGGCUUGGAUUUGGGAGAGGGAUGCGGAAUUCCAGGUGUAGCGGUGAAAUGCGUAGAUAUCUGGAGGAACACCGGUGGCGAAGGCGGCAUCCUGGACCAAUAUUGACGCUGAGGAGCGAAAGCCAGGGGAGCCAAAGCAGGG